rnacentral:rRNA from 1 species
CCUACGGGGGGCAGCAGUGGGGAAUAUUGCACAAUGGGGGAAACCCUGAUGCAGCAACGCCGCGUGAAGGAAGACGGUUUUCGGAUUGUAAACCUCUGUCAUGUGGGAGCAAAUUAAAAAGAUAGUACCACAAGAGGAAGAGACGGCUAACCCUGUGCCAGCAGCCGCGGUAAUACAGAGGUCUCAAGCGUUGUUCGGAAUCACGGGGGGUAAAGCGGGCGUAGGCUGUUUCUUAAGUCGUGUGUGAAUGGCGCGGGCUCAACCCGCGGACGGCACUGGAUACUGCGAGACUAGAGUAAUGGAGGGGGAACCGGAAUUCUCGGUGUAGCAGUGAAAUGCGUAGAUAUCGGGAGGAACACUCGUGGCGAAGGCGGGUUCCUGGACAUUAACUGACGCUGAGGCACGAAGGCCAGGGGAGCGAAAGGGAUUAGAUACCCGUGUAGUC